rnacentral:rRNA from 1 species
AAUGGACGAAAGUCUGACGCAGCCAUGCCGCGUGCAGGAUGACGGCCCUAUGGGUUGUAAACUGCUUUUUUAUGGGAAGAAACUCAUCUACGUGUAGGUGACUGACGGUACUAUAUGAAUAAGCAUCAGUUAACUCCGUGCCAGCAGCCGCGGUAAUACGGAGGAUGCAAGCGUUAUCCGGAUUUACUGGGUUUAAAGGGUGCGUAGGCGGGAAUUUAAGUCAGUGGUGAAAUACUGCAGCUUAACUGUAGCACUGCCAUUGAUACUGAAUUUCUUGAGUACGGUUGAAGUAGGCGGAAUGUGUAAUGUAGCGGUGAAAUGCUUAGAGAUUACACAGAGCACCGAUUGCGUAGGCAGCUUACUAAGCCGUAACUGACGCUGAGGCACGAAAGUGUGGGGAUCGAA